GGAAAUGUCAACAGCCGAAGAAGAAGAACCAGGCUACGAUGAAAACAAAACGACUCUAAAAAGAUACACCUUUCAAUUUGUUGCAACUGAAACUAUCUUUGUCUUAUUAAAUCAUAUUUGGCCUAAAUUUAUACAGACAUUGUAAUCUGAUUCAUUUAGACAAACCCGAAAGCUUGCUCUAAUUAGCUAAUAUUUUUAGCUAACGAUAUAUGAUAUCAAAAUAUUAGCUAGCUUAGCUAAUAGCUAUCAUCAGCUCGCAAACUUAGCUCCAACGACAAUUUCGACGUAGCUGCAUUUUCGGAGCUGUCUAGUUAUAAAUUGGUCAAUUACACAGCCAAAACAUGUCGGAUGAUUAUGAAUUCAGCGACGACACGACCAUGAUGAGAAUGGAGGAGGACGGAGAGGCGAACAGUGACGACCCGAUGUCAACGGCCGGGGACUGUGGCCUGAUGGGGGGCGAGGCCGAGGGAUCCAGAAUUGACGCCAGUAAAAACGAAGAGGAUGAAGGGAAGAUGUUUGUAGGAGGGCUCAGCUGGGACACGACUAAGAAGGAUUUGAAAGAUUACUUCUCCAAGUUUGGGGAGGUUGUAGACUGCACAUUAAAACUGGACCCCAUGACUGGACGUUCAAGAGGUUUUGGCUUUGUGCUCUUCAAAGAACCUGAAAGUGUAGAUAAGGUCGCCUCACAGAAGGAACAUAAACUCAAUGGAAAGGUCAUUGACCCCAAAAAAGCCAAGGCCAUGAAGAGCAAGGAGCCUGUGAAGAAGAUCUUUGUUGGCGGUCUCUCUCCAGACACCCCUGAAGAGAAAGUCAGAGAGUACUUUGGUGCCUUUGGAGAGGUGGAUUCAAUUGAACUUCCCAUGGAGAACAAAACAAACAAAAGGAGAGGUUUCUGCUUCAUCACGUUCAAAGAGGAGGAACCAGUGAAGAAGAUCAUGGAGAAAAAGUACCACAACAUCGGACUAAGCAAGUGUGAAAUAAAGGUGGCGAUGUCUAAGGAACAGUACCAGCAGCAGCAGUACUGGGGAGGCAGAGGCGGAUACUUAUCCAGGUCUCGAGGAAGAGGCGGUGGUCCAAAUCAAAACUGGAACCAGGGUUACGGCAACUAUUGGAAUCAAGGCUAUGGAAAUUAUGGCAAUUAUGGUUACAGUAAUCAAGGAUAUGGAGGAUACGGUGGCUAUGAUUACACUGGUUACAACAACUAUUAUGGAUAUGGUGACUACGACAGUGAGUAAAGUUCUUAUCAAUCUGGUGGAUACGGCAAGUCGCCACGGCGUGGUGGUCACACCAACAGUUACAAGCCGUAUUAAUGGAGGAAACCCUCAUCUUCAAGUAGCGGAGCUUCCUUGCAGGCCAUGAGCUGACUCCCAGAUACUCUCAGGGCCCGCUCAAUGCGGACCGGGUACGAGAAGCAUACGCUCUCGAAUGCUGCCAUUUGGUAUGGUCUUACAACAUCCUGUAUCAGCAUUUCUAAACUAAACAAUAUGGGACACGUCCAGCUUUGUCAUCUUUCUUUCCAUUUUAAUUUCUUUGCAACUGUUUGUAAUGUAAAACUUAAAAUAUACACAUGUAAUUGUCAUUUUUUACAGGCCCUUACUCCCCCACAAGUAAUGAUUAUAAAUAUGAAAAAAUAACUAUUUGCUUUUCAAAGGAUACGUACAGCAUUCUCUGGACUUUCCAGUUCCUAUUGUUAAUAUAUGCACUCCUAAUCUUUAUCUAAAAUGCUUGUUUCUUUAUUUAGCUCUUGUAGCCAGUAGUCCAUGAGCUAAAACCUGGUUCGUAUUUGGACUCUACUGUGUUGGGGGAUAAAGUGCUUUACUUUGUGUACAUGUAUUGUUCUGUUUUGUGUUACUGACAGCGAUGGAAAAGACUCCUCUUUUUUGUUAAUUUUCCUGUAACAAAUUUUCCUCUUAUAACCUUUUGUAAAACAAGAAGAAUCAAAGUGUCACUACAUUUCCAGAAAUUUGCAUGUAAUGCUUUCUUUAAUGUGUAUUUUUGACCAGUCGAAGGUUUCUUCCAUUUAAUAUUUUGGCUUUGACUUCUUCAAUUUAUCGCACUUCAGGAUUUCUAGCUUAUGGACUAACUUUUUUUUAACUGUAAAUUGUUAAAAUAAUUGUUCUCAGUUUGUUUUUUCUUUUACAUUGGACAUUAUAAACACAGGGGAUUCCUAUUUUAUUGUGAUUUUAUUUGUUUUUGUUCGUCUAUAGCUGAUUUGUUUUUGUUUGUUUUCCAUAGGUUUCAGAGUGAUGAAAAGUCUGCAGUGCGCUGGUGGAGCAUUGGCCAAAGAGAUGGUGGUAUCCAGCAAAGAUCACUUAGCUGAUUGUAAGAAAGUAAACGAAGAACACUGACCUACAGUUCGUUUCCUCUAUAUUUACCAGAGUAUUUGUUGUAUCUUAAAAGUUUUGGGUUUUGAUGUUUUGCAUUUAUUUAGAUUUGCUGCAAAGCUUUAGCACUUCCUCAUCCCUCCUUGUUUUUUUAUGUAUUUAAUGUUUCUCAAAUGCUUUUUGUGAAUUGUUCGAUUUAUUCCGUAACUGAAACGUUAGAUUGGCUGGAACAGAUCACACAUAUAUUUACAAGUACUGUGGCAGCAAAGAUAACAAAAUGUGUGGUCACAAUUUAUCCUCUUUAUCAUAGUCAUCAGUCUUAUAAUACAUAUGUUAUUACAGAGUUUGACAGUCAUAAACGUACAUUAUAUAUACACAGUGUAUUGGACAUAAAGAAAAGUGACAAAUAAAAAUAAUAAACACUUA